CUGAGGUGCAAACCCAGGUGGU
rnacentral:siRNA from 1 species